rnacentral:rRNA from 1 species
GCAGCGAUGCCGCGUGAGUGAAGAAGGCCCUUGGGUUGUAAAGCUCUUUCGUCGGGGAAGAAAAUGACUGUACCCGAAUAAGAAGGUCCGGCUAACUUCGUGCCAGCAGCCGCGGUAAUACGAAGGGACCUAGCGUAGUUCGGAAUUACUGGGCUUAAAGAGUUCGUAGGUGGUUAAAAAAGUUGGUGGUGAAAUCCCAGAGCUUAACUCUGGAACUGCCAUCAAAACUUUUUAGCUAGAGUAUGAUAGAGGAAAGCAGAAUUUCUAGUGUAGAGGUGAAAUUCGUAGAUAUUAGAAAGAAUACCAAUUGCGAAGGCAGCUUUCUGGAUCAUUACUGACACUGAGGAACGAAAGCAUGGGUAGCGAAGAGGAUUAGAUACCCUCGUAGUCCAUGCCGUAAACGAUGUGUGUUAGACGUUGGAAAUUUAUUUUCAGUGUCGCAGCGAAAGCAAUAAACACACCGCCUGGGGAGUACGACCGC